UCCCAGCCUUGCUAACAGAUUAUUUCUGGAAUCAUUUAUUGCUGAAAUUAGCUCUACACUUGCACUACAUUCCACCAGAAUUCCGGAGCUACCCGGUACGUCGUGUGAAAGCUCAAAUUUAAUAUGCAAAUUACCAGCAGGUAAUAUUCAUUAGCCUGAAGGAUAACCAUCUAACUGAGCUAAUGCAGUUGGGUCAAGUGAUAAGAAGAGCCCUGCCGGAUCAGAACAAAGGCCCAUCUAGUCCAGCAUCCUGUUCUCAUAGCGGCCAACCACAUGCCUAUGGGAAGCCUGAAAGCAGGGUCUGAGUGCAAUUGCAUUACUACAAAUAUAUUUUCUUCAGUGAUGGCCUUCAUGAAAAUAAAAACUGCAUAUGCAGCAUUCUUAGAAGGAGGAAUACUUAAAAUGAGGCAAAGAUCCAGAGAUGUGCACAUCGUCUAUUAAACUAGUGAUGCAAGGAGCCCAGAAUGAUAUUUUAUACUGACAGCUGCUGACACAGUCUGCUCUGAAUACUGGUGUGCUGGAUUCUACCGUUAAGGACAUAGCUUCAUUGCCUCUGCUUGACUGAGCUUCAGCCUCUCAUUCGCUGUCCCUCGGGGUCUCCUGUAACGCAGGCUGUACUCUAAUCUCAUUCUCAAGUGCCUGGAAGUGGUUCCAUAGUUCCAUUAGUGCAGGGUGUCUUCUAGCUCUACAAUAUCAUUCUUCACAUGUGAACCACAUAUUGUGUGGCUUAUGCAUUAGGAUUUGAAGAUAAAAACACUGAUAAUUGGAAAUGCUCAAACUUUAAAGAAUUCACUUACAGGGCACCUGUUAAUGUGUGCUUCUGUCACAGUGAAUAUCUCUGGCAGCUUAACUCAGUUUUGUAUGUGUUAUAACAGCACAGAAGUGAUUAUUCCUAGUCCCCUUUUGAGGUUACUGACAACUUCUAAUCUACAAGACUAAAUCAAACCAUUCCAGGAAAUCAAAGAAACACUCAUGCCUGUGAAGCUACUGCCUGAAUUUCUGCCAAAUAAUUUCUGCUGGUCAAGUCACAGCCAGUCCUAAUCUUUAAAACAAAACAGGCAUAUGUGGUUAAGGACCCUUUACGUGUGUGUGUGGUUUACAAUACAGGAUAAAAAGCAAGGGUGUACCAAGAAUGUUAAACUCAUUUUUAUUCAAGUCUGUCUCAUUCUAGCCCUAUUCCUGUCUUCACACACAUUUUCAUGAAAAACAGAAUAAAUAAAACCCACUGAAAGUUAUAUUCCAUUAAAAAAAAAGUUUAUAAUAAUAAUGGCUGCCAAAAUAUUUUAUGGUUUAGGAUAUGUGCUGCUCCUGGAGGUGGAACAGAUUCAGGCAUGGCACUGCAAUCUUUUUUCUUGCCCAUUCCCUCACGCCCUACCCCCACCCUCGUUCAACAUCAACUUCGCUGGACCGGCCAUGUUGUUUGAAUGCCUAAUCACCAUCUUCUAAAGCAGUACUUUACUCCCAACUUAAGGAUGGAAAAUGGAACAUGGGCGGACAGCAAAAGAGGUUUAAAGAUGUUCUUAAAGCGAAUCUAAAAAAUGUAACAUGAACAUCGACAACUGGGAAGUCUUGGCCCAUGAACGUCCCAAAUGGAGGUUGGCUAUUAUCAAAGGUGCUGUGAAUCCAGGGCAAACGAGCCAAGUGGAAGGCACAUCAAACAAAUUCUCAUCGCGACCAUCUUCCAUGUGGAAACCUAUGUCCUCGCUGUGGGAGGCUGUGUGGAUCCAGAUUGGCCUCCACUUACGGACCCACUGUUAAAGACCUUAUCUUGGAAGACAAUCUUACUCGGCCACAAGUGAUUGCCAAUGAAUGAAUGAAUGAAUGACCCCCUGGACAGGAAGGAAACUAUUGCAAAUUCUACACACUGCUUUUGGCCUUUACCAGUUUUGCUCCUUCUCACAGUAAUGUGAUGUUCCGGCCAUCCACUGCAGGGUAAAUGUCUUUUACAAGAGAGAUUUAACUAGAAACCUAUGAAGAAGAG